CGCGUAGGCGGGCGAUCGAGUCAGAUGUAAAAGGCAACGGCUCAACCGUUGUAUGUCAUCUGAUACUGAUUGUCUUGAGUUCGAGAGAGGGUGGUGGAAUUCCCGGUGUAGCGGUGAAAUGCGUAGAUAUCGGGAAGAACACCUGAUGCGAAGGCGGCCACCUGGUUCGAUACUGACGCUGAGGCGCGAAAGCGUGGGGAGCAAAACA
rnacentral:rRNA from 1 species